GUGUGCUUGUGUGUGUCUGUGUAAAGACAUUAGAAACAUACCAGCACUGAGUCCUGUGAUUGAACAGGAGGAACGUAUCACCCAAGGCCUCUAUUCCAAACCUACUAGGAUACAGAAUGAAGUAGGCCAGGAACCUUAUGAAAGGCCCUAUUAAAAAAAAAAAAUAGGGAUGAAAUCACAGACUGAGGAAUAUACAAGGAGAGCUUGACAAAAGAAUCAGGAGAAAUGUCAGAGUCAGCAUGUACUUUGCUGCAACAACAUCACAUAGGGUUCAUUUUAACCAAUGCCACUUCCCUGCAGGCUUUUGUGCUCUGAGAUGGAGAACAGGAUCGGGGCAUUCCAAUUAUCUAGAUAUGCUUUGACUUACUUUCCUACUUACACCAGCCAUUGAUGAAUCUAAAUCCAAAUGAAGAAGAUUCAAAUUCUAGAAUCAUUUAGCAGGACAUUUUACCUAGAAAUAGAAGGAAAAAUAUCAUCCCUACGACUUUGUAUGACUUUGUAAGUACAGAAAAAAAAACUGAGUUGUAUCUCCCACAAAUCACAUUGUGGAAUUUUUACUGUAUCGAAAGAUUGUUGAAAUUGAUCUUGAAGGUGGCAUGGAUGGGCUUCACUACCACCCCUGAUGCUAACAGUGCCCUUUAAGAAGCAGCUAUUCAGCCUCCUGGAAAUAGGAUUUUCCUCUUUCUUCCAUGGUAGCAAGUAGAAGAUUUUCUUUCUUCCCUUGAUGGUGUGAUAUGAAGAUAUGGAGCCUGGAACAACUAAACCCAUUAUGCUGCCAAGAGAAGACACCUGGGCCUUGGUGGGUUUGAACCACUGAAUUAAGUCUUCACCAAAAUCAGAACAUCUUCUGGACUUUUAAGUUCCAUGAGUUAAUAAACCCUCUUUAUUGGUUAAGCCUUUUUGGUUCAGGUUUUUUGAGUCAUUUGUUUUCAAGAAUCUUUGCAGAGUCAAAAUAACAUUGUGCCAGUUUCUAGAACUAAGACAGUUAAGACUAUCCUAUGCUUUUAAGAGGCUUCCUUUGUGAUGCAAAUAUGACCUCUGAGCAAGUAAGAGACUGAAGUACUAGAAAAAAAACGUCUGAAUUCAAUUUUUAAAAAGGACAAUUAUAAGAAAGAAAAGGAAGAAACAUUUUGUCAGGGGGCCCGGAUAUAGGAACAGAUAACAAAAGAUUGUUCCACCUGCCUGCCUAGGAGAAACAACAAACCAAAAAGUCAUCUGAAAAUCUGCAACUUUUGAUCUAAAUGCAAAUCAAACCAGUUUCUGUGAAAAGCACUUAAACAUCCAGAAGGCUUGUUGUGCAGAACUGAGAAUUUGGGGAUUGCCCACAGCCUUGAAAAGUACAGAACAUGUUCUUUCCUCCAACAAAUAAUUGGGAACAAGAAGUCUGUCUGGAAUUAAUUCAAUUGGUGUCAAGGGUGAGUUACAAAACCAUCAACAUCUAAGAAAUCAACUGUGUUAUCUUUAUCCUGUGUUUUUAUCCAUAUGAAUAAUUUAAACUAUUAUAAAUAGCAGAUUGAUUGUAUUUUCAGAUCAUAGCUAUAUUUAAUUACAUCUUCUGUCACAUAAAAAAUGGCUAAGAUUUUUAACCUUUCUUUUUCAAGAGUAAAGGCAGCUCCCUGGCAUGACCAGGAAUGGGCCUUUUGUUGAACACAAAAUUGAGAUUUAUGGUGCUGGGUUAUAUAAAGAAAAAGGAAAAUAAAUGUAUUUGUCUUGUGACUAUAAAGAAUGAUUUCUUGUAGAUUUAGCUUUGGACUUCUACAUACAAAAGAGGGAUGUGUGAUGUGGCACAGUAAGACUAAAUCCUAAUGUGUACAAGUCACCUGGAUAUUGUGUUGAAAUGCAGAUGCAGACUUAGGAGAUCUGAGGGAGGGCCUUAGAUCUGCAUUUCCGGUAAGAUCCCCAUUGAUGCUAAUGCAUUUGGGCCUACUGGCCACACUUUAAGAAGCAAGAGUAUAGAAGAAAGAACUAAGGUAUAUAGUAUUCAAGAAGUCUGGCUUUAGUUCCAGUUUCAUCACUAAUUAGCCAUGAGACCUCACCAAUAUCACUUAAAUAUAUUCCUCAUGUAUAAGAUGAUGGGGCUGGACUUAGUCAUCUCAAAAUUCCUGACACAAGAACUGGGAGUGAUGACGUGUGCCUGUAAUUCCAUCUACUCAGGAGGCUGAGGCAGGAGGAUUACUUUCUUUCUUUCUUUUUGAGACUGAGUCUCACUCUUUCGCCCAGGCUGAAGUGCAGUGGUGUGAUCUCGGCUCACUGCAAACUCCACCUCCCCAGUUCAAACAAUUCUCCUGCCCCAGCAUCCUGAAUAGCUGGGACUACAGGUGCCCACCACCACACCUGGC
rnacentral:lncRNA from 10 species